ACGGUUGUAGCUCAGUGAUAGAGCAUCUGCUUUGCAUGCUGAAGGUCCCAGGUUUGAUCCCUGGCAACUGUG